UCCGAGUUGUCCCCGGCAGUCUCCUUAGAGUCCCCGGCAUUACCCGCUGGCAACUAAGGACAGGGGUUGCGCUCGUUGCGGCACUUAAGCCAACACCUCACGGCACGAGCUGACGACAGCCAUGCAGCACCUGUGCUAGCCCCUUGCGGACACGGGCUUUCACCCGCUUUAACUAGCAUGUCAAACCCAGGUAAGGUGGGGAUGACGUGCCACGCAAUAACA
rnacentral:misc_RNA from 1 species